rnacentral:rRNA from 1 species
UACGGAGGGUGCAAGCGUUAUCCGGAUUCACUGGGUUUAAAGGGUGCGUAGGCGGCUCAGUAAGUCGGGUGUGAAACCUCCAGGCUCAACCUGGAGACGCCACCUGAUACUGCUGUGGCUGGAGUCCGGUAGGGGAGCGUGGAAUUCCUGGUGUAGCGGUGAAAUGCGCAGAUAUCAGGAGGAACACCAGCGGCGAAGGCGGCGCUCUGGGCCGGUACUGACGCUGAGGAGCGAAAGCGUGGGGAGCGAACAGG